GAUAAAAAUAGAGUCGUUUUACAGUUAUUUUUACUUUCUGGAAGGAGGCAAUUAGAGUUCUAAUCAGGAAUACACAAAAAUCUCCCAUGAUUAACUGCAGUACUUUGUUCAAAUUGCUGCUAUAAAAUUCAGAACAAUUUGCCUGUAAUGAUUAUGGACUGGGUUUAUUUUGGGAGGUGGAAUAAAAGUGGAUAUAGCAUAAAUUAUCCUCUAAUUAUACACCAGUGUCGCCUCAAUUAUCCUCUUAUCAAAAUGGUUGUCUAACUGCCGCAUUUAGUUUCAAUUCUCUCCUUUUUUUCUAUAAAAAGAACUUCAUACCUUGUUAUUAUUAAUCCAUUUAUUAUUUGCAAGGGGAUUUAUAUCCGCACAUCCAGGUGGUAGAACCACUUCUCUUUCAAAGAUGGACUGGGGAAAGACAUUAAGUUCGGAGCAGCCCGAGGCUGUGGAUCUACCCUUUCUCCCUCCGGUCUCCAGACCCACUGAGGUCCAGGCAGCCGAGCAGAGACAGCGGAACCCCGGGCACGCAGUUCAGGCCCGGCCACCAGUUGCUGAGACAGAGGGAAAACCCACUCCUUUGGAGGAGCACGGCCUUGUCUUAUACUGUUUCCCACUGCUGCUGUUGAACUCCUUGAACCCGGGACCCUGCACACCAUCAUCAAGAAGACAUUAUGGACAGCUGUCCACCCCCAGAAAGAAGAGAAAUAUCAACCGCAGUUUCUCACUAGAUUGCCUUCUUCAUCUCAAGCAAUGACUGUCAUCAGAGUCAGAUUAAAGAUGAAUCAGCUGGGCAACUGCUUGGAGGACUAACCUAUAAGGGCACUAAAAUGUCAGUAGUGUGCUAACACAUCCAUGGAAAUACAAGGAGAGGAAAAUAUGUUUACCAGCCCUUCUUCCCAGGGAGAAUUGUGUGUGCAAUUGAAAGGAAUGGUUUGAUAAAUUCCCUAGGGGUGGAAAGUAGGGAGUGAUCAGAAUAUACAGGAGUAUAGGGCUGUUUUACUGCAGGGUUCUUGUUUUUCCUACUAGGACACAUUAACUGGGUGCUCCAUCUGGGUUGUUUAUGGCUAUGGAGGGUAGGCUGAGCACCCUGGUAGUCCUCCUGCUCAGUUCUUACCCAUGUGGAGCUCAGCCUUUCCUCUAGUGAAGACUGAACAAGUAGUAGUUUGAGGAAGACACCAAUUCAUGAGCUUGCAUGUCUCUUCUCUGCACUCUAGGGCUUGACAAUAAAGACAUUGUCAUAGACAUCUAUAUUCCAGUUCUACGAUGUGAGCCCAUAGGGUAUUUUUGUUCACUUGAGGUGAGGGUCAUUGCUAACAGACAAAUGAACUUGAACUCUUUGUCUAUGGGCCUGGUGGUCAGACCCUAUGUUGAGUUAAUUAGACUAUUAGAAACACCUGGUGGAACUGGGACUUUCAAAGAUAUUUGACUGAAGGGUGAUAUUGCUGGUUAUUUGUAGAUGAAACCAUCAUAGAACAUGCUUGGAAUCAUGAAAUAUGGAACUAAUAGUCAUGUUUAAUGAUUCAACACAUAGUUAAGUACCUACUGGACACUGUGGAGACUUAGGAGCAAGAUAAACACGGUUCCUACCCCCAUGGAGUUUGCACUCUAGCUUUCCCUUAAGUAUGAGGAGCAGUGGCUACAGAUAACUAAUGGCUACAAAGAUAUUUUGAGCCAAUUUUCCAAUCAUUAGGGUAAUUUCCAUUGCCUUAGUUGUGCCUGAUGACCAUGCUCUAUAAGCCUGCAUUCUGUAUAGUGAAGGCCACUGACUACUUCAUCCUUUGCAACUCAUCAUCCCUACUCAGGUAGGGAGAACCUAGGUGACUACUUUCUAAACUUAAAAAAUACCUCUCAACAGAUAGACAUCUUUCAUAUAUAUUGUGUUUCAUACAUUCUCUAUGGCUGGUGACCUCUUUAGAAAGGAAAGGAAAAACACUGAUCAGACAAAAAGAUGUGGCUAUGAAUUCUUACCCUAUUGUGAAUCCUAUUAUAAGCAACUUCUCAUCUUUGUUUCUUCCAUCAUUAGCAAAUCUAUUUAAGAUUAUAUAUAUGUGUAUAUAAAUCUGAGUACAGAAAAUAUUUUAUGGAAAUAUAAAUCUAUGGCAUUUCAAAUUCAGAAUUACUGACACAAACUAUUGGGUUUGAGAAUUUUUAUCCUGGGAAAUAGUUUUAGAUAUUUCAAUUUCUGGCUUUAAGGGUGGUAUUAAUUACUCUUGAUUCUCAAUUUUACUUCCUAGUUGAGGUCAAGAAACAGACAGACACUUAAGUUAAUGUCUAUGCUGUUUCAUGACCAAAAGCUUUAAUUUUCCCUCUUGCAUUCAUUUUUGUAGUGUACCUCAUUACUAAAUGGAUUGAUCAGUGUUUCAUUCUCUUUCUGUGUCCUUACUUUCUCUCUGGCAAAUAUAUUAAAAUUAGUGUCAGGUUCAUAAGAUAGAAUGGCCAGUAGGACUUAGAAGAGAAACAAAGGGCCUGAGUAACUCACCUAAGUGGAAAAUCGACCCUGGAAUAAUUGACAACAUAUUCAACUAUAUUAAUGCAAUGUUACUCCCAUUAAGCAGAAUCAGUAAAUCUAUAUGCCUCUAAACACUCUAAUGAAAAGGGAACAUUGUGUCAAUCAUCUCACAUUUUCAUAUAUCUGGGUAUUGGCUGUUGUGAAGAUAAAACACACAGAUGGCUGUCUUUCCACUUCUCAUUUGCAUGGUCUGGAGUCUUGUAGCUUGGGCCAUUGACUCUAAGGCAAUUUAUGUUUGUUUUCUCUGUCCCUCUUGGGGGAAAACAAAAAUCUUAUUUUUCCAAGCAAUUAAAACUCUUCUGCUUCAGCUAGGAUGAAAGAAUUAGGAAUUCUGUCUCCUUGUAUGUAAUUGCAUGUUUCAUCUUUCUUAUUUUAAUGAUUGACAGAAAACUGAUAAACUGAGAUAUGUCUGAAUCAGGGUGGAAUGUACUCUCUUGGUGGCCCCAUUGCUAAUUUGUUUGACUAUUUUGCAAGAUUUCUUACUCUGUAAUGGAAAGGUUUAUUAAAUAUGAGGGGUGCAAA